AGAGUUUGAUUCUGGCUCAGGAUGUAACGCUGGCGGCGUGCUUAACACAUGCAAGUCGAACGAGUUUUUAACGGAAGUUUCGGAUGGAAGUUUAGAAACUUAGUGGCGGACGGGUGAGUAACGCGUGGGUAACCUGCCCCAUACAGGGGGAUAACAGUUAGAAAUGACUGCUAACACCGCAUAAUAUAGCGAAACCGCAUGAUUUUUGCUAUCAAAUAUUUAUAGGUAUGAGGAUGGGCCCGCGUCUGAUUAGCUAGUUGGUGGGGUAAAAGCCUACCAAGGCGACGAUCAGUAGCCGGCUUGAGAGAGUGACCGGCCACAUUGGGACUGAGACACGGCCCAAACUCCUACGGGAGGCAAGCAGUGGGGAAUAUUGGACAAUGGGGGAAACCCUGAUCCAGCGAACCGCCGCGUGAGUGAAGAAGUAUUUCGGUAUGUAAAGCUCUAUCAGCAGGGAAGAUAAUGACAGUACCUGACUAAGAAGCCCCGGCUAACUACGUGCCAGCCGCAGC
rnacentral:rRNA from 1 species